GGGGGUGUAGCUCAGUUGGGAGAGCACCUGCCUUGCAAGCAGGGGGUCAAGGGUUCGAAUCCCUUCAUCUCCA
rnacentral:tRNA from 2 species